UACGAAGGGGACUAGCGUUGUUCGGAAUCACUGGGCGUAAAGCGCACGUAGGCGGAUUUGUAAGUCAGGGGUGAAAUCCCGGAGCUCAACUUCGGAACUGCCUUUGAUACAGCACGUCUUGAGUCCGAUAGAGGUGGGUGGAAUUCCUAGUGUAGAGGUGAAAUUCGUAGAUAUUAGGAAGAACACCGGUGGCGAAGGCGGCCCACUGGAUCGGUACUGACGCUGAGGUGCGAAAGCGUGGGGAGCAAACAGG
rnacentral:rRNA from 1 species